rnacentral:rRNA from 1 species
UUGCGCUAAUAGAUGAGCCUAAGUCGGAUUAGCUAGUUGGUGGGGUUUUAGAAAGGCCUACCAAGGCGACGAUCUGUAGCGGGUCUGAGAGGAUGAUCCGCCACACUGGGACUGAGACACGGCCCAGACUCCUACGGGAAUGGCAGCAGUGGGGAAUAUUGGACAAUUUAUGGGGGGAACCCUGAUCCAGCCAUGCCUCCGCGUGUGUGAAGAAGGCCUUAUUGGUUGUAAAGCACUAAUUAAGCGAGGAGGAGGCUACUUUAGUUAAUACCUAGAGAUAGUGGACGUUACUCGCAGAAUAAGCACCGGCUAACUCUGUGCCAGCAGCCGCGGUAAUACAGAGGGUGCGAGCACAGAGUUAAUCGGGUAUUUAUUCUGGGCGUAAAGCGUGCGUAGGCGGCUUAUUAAGUCGGAUGUGAAAUCCCCGAGCUUAACUUGGGAAUUGCAUUCGAUACUGGUGAGCUAGAGUAUGGGAGAGGAUGGAUUAGAAUUCCAGGUGUAGCGGUGAAAUGCGUAGAGAUGCCUCCUGGAGGAAUACCGAUGGCGACUAGGCAGCCAUCUGGCCUAAUACUGACGCUGAGGUACGAAAGACCGC